AUGGAGUUUUCCACUGUUAACGGCGGCACUGGCUACCAUGUAAAGCUCAGACGUCUGCUUGGCCAGGCAGACAACGAUCUCGAGGUUGACAUUCUCGCUGGUGAAGCUCUCGUCGGCAACACCAUACGGAGAACACAUCGCCCAGGCCGGACCGGAAGUCGACCUGGCAUCAUAAUGGAUAGAGAUGGAACCAUUGAGAUGUUUUCUCUCGUCGGUGAUCACACCCGUAAUGGCUCGUUUCAACUCUAUCACACCCGCCAGCAAACGAACAGUGAAUAUUUCAAGGAAUGGCGGCUGGAGAAUGUUAUACCGUUGCCCGACGGGUACGACUAUUUCGCCGCAGGCGCGGCCGAGGGAUUCUUAUUCCUAGGAGCCACUACAGAAGAUCAGUUCGACAUCGAUCAAGGCUCCUCGGAGCCGUAUUGGAGGACCGGUUGGGAAGUAGAUUAUUUCUCGCUCGAGGUCAGGACUUCUCAACUCGCCAAGGUUUGUAGGAGCAAGAGGCAAUUCUUCCAUGGUGAGCAUGCUCUCUGGUACUUUGGCUAUCCACCGUCCUUGUCCAACCCGUGUGUGUGA
rnacentral:rRNA from 1 species